rnacentral:rRNA from 1 species
GUGGGGAAUUUUGGACAAUGGGCGCAAGCCUGAUCCAGCAAUGCCGCGUGCAGGAAGAAGGCCUUCGGGUUGUAAACUGCUUUUGUACGGAACGAAACGGUCCGGGUUAAUACCCUGGGCUAAUGACGGUACCGUAAGAAUAAGCACCGGCUAACUACGUGCCAGCAGCCGCGGUAAUACGUAGGGUGCAAGCGUUAAUCGGAAUUACUGGGCGUAAAGCGUGCGAAGGCGGUUUUGUAAGACAGGCGUGAAAUCCCCGGGCUCAACCUGGGAAUUGCGCUUGUGACUGCAAGGCUGGAGUGCGGCAGAGGGGGAUGGAAUUCCGCGUGUAGCAGUGAAAUGCGUAGAUAUGCGGAGGAACACCGAUGGCGAAGGCAAUCCCCUGGGCCUGCACUGACGCUCAUGCACGAAAGCGUGGGGAGCAAACAGGAUUAGAUACCCUUGUAGUCC